UGCAUCAUUGUUCGCCAAAUAUUAUUCGACAUAUCGGCAAAUCGUGGAAAAAUUUAGAGAAGUUGUCAAAAUUGAUAACGAGCCACUAUUAUCUCUGCCUUCUACGAAUUUAAAUGAAAGAUACAUUAUCUUCGAGAUGCAUAAUCUUGAACCAUGGUAUCUCGAUUUAAUCGCAGAUUAAAAUCGAUUCUGGAUCAAUGAUUCGAGUAUAUAUCACGAGCGUUGUUCAAGAGGCAGUUCCUUCGACACGAUAGAGUUGUACGUGUAAUCUUGUCAUCACGUUCGAGAUUCUAUGUGUAUCGCGUUUAAUCGAGAAAAUUAGAAAAUGGAUCGGGUGUAACCGGUAGAUGGCAUACAUUGGCGUUCGAAAGUAUCGUGAAGUUCGUUUCGGUGUUGAUAAUCGACGACCUUCUUGAUUCGCGUAAUCUUCAAAAAGCAAUAACUCAGUUACGAGUGGUAUCUGGUAUCUGGUUUACACUGAAACGAUAACGAUGGGCAACCUAAUUUCACGGACCAAUUUCUAACCGGUCUCCAUUUUGUUUGAUAGUGGAGAAGGGAGAAGUAUCGUGUGCAUUUGAUGAAAUGGCAUUUUUCAUCGUUAAUUGCUCCUUUAUCUUAAAUUUUAUAACGAUGACGAUAAAUUGGGUGAUGGUGAAAUAAUGUAAAAUCGCCAAUGAAAAUAAAUGAAUUUAACAACGAACACGAUUCACAAUUCGCUAUUCACAAAUUGUACAAAGGAGUUUUUCUCUUUUUGUUUCCUCUUUUCUUGCCUCUCUCUUUUUUUUAUUCGUGUAGAAAUUUUAGUACAGAAUCGUAGGAUUAUCUGAUUGAAAAAUAGAACAAAGCAGUUGAGCAGUUGAACGGCCUUGCACAUAUUGUUAUACUUUGAUUAAGAAAUAGAAAUGAUACAUACGAAUAAUAUCAUGAAAGAAAUUGUUAUUAAUUCGAGGAAAAUUCUUUUCUUUCUGUAAAAUAAUAAAAUUAUUCAAUAUAAUGAGAAUCAUAAAAUAUGUCGUAUUUAGUUGUAAAGAGAAAGAAAAUACAAACCAGGAGGAAAUGGAAAGUUACGAUAUAUAUAUAUAUAUAUAUAUUAAGAGUUAUCAUGAUCAAAUGCAGUGUACUGGAGAAUUUAAUGCAUUAAAUCACACAUUUAUCUGCCAUAAGCAAAAGUCAAGCUGCAAAAAUUGCAGGAUACAUUAAUUAAGUUUAAGGAACAAAUUAAAAUAAUAUAAUUUAUCAAGAGUGUAACAACAAUGUAUUAAAAAUACAAAUUCCUUUUCUUUCUGAAUUUUUGAAAUGAAAAAAAGAGACUCUUUUGACAGUUUAAAUUAAAAAAAAAAAAAAUUACAAAAAAAUCGCGGUCGAAAAAGAAGAAAA